rnacentral:rRNA from 1 species
GACGUAGGGUGCGAGCGUUGUCCGGAAUUACUGGGCGUAAAGAGUGUGUAGGCGGUGCUCCCAGUCUGUUGUGAAAUCUCCCGGCUUAACUGGGAGGGUGCAGCGGAAACUAGAGUGCUAGAGGGUGGGAGAGGUAAGCGGAAUUCCUGGUGUAGCGGUGAAAUGCGUAGAUAUCGGGAGGAACACCUGUGGCGAAGGCGGCGCACUGGACCACAUCUGACGCUGAGGCGCGAAAGCUAGGGGAGCAAACAGG